AGUGAACGCUGGCGGUAGGCCUAACACAUGCAAGUCGAACGGCAGCACAGUAAGAGCUUGCUCUUACGGGUGGCGAGUGGCGGACGGGUGAGGAAUACAUCGGAAUCUACUUUUUCGUGGGGGAUAACGUAGGGAAACUUACGCUAAUACCGCAUACGACCUACGGGUGAAAGCAGGGGAUCUUCGGACCUUGCGCGAUUGAAUGAGCCGAUGUCGGAUUAGCUAGUUGGCGGGGUAAAGGCCCACCAAGGCGACGAUCCGUAGCUGGUCUGAGAGGAUGAUCAGCCACACUGGAACUGAGACACGGUCCAGGCUCCUACGGGAGGCAGCAGUGGGGAAUAUUGGACGAUGGGCGGAAGCCUGAUCCAGCCAUGCCGCGUGGGUGAAGAAGGCCUUCGGGUUGUAAAGCCCUUUUGUUGGGAAAGAAAAGCAGCAGGUUAAUACCCCGCUGUUCUGACGGUACCCAAAGAAUAAGCACCGGCUAACUUCGUG
rnacentral:rRNA from 1 species